ACACCGGCAGCUCAAGUGGUAGCCGCUUUUAUUGGGCCUAAAGCGUCCGUAGCCGGUCUGAUAAGUCUCUGGUGAAAUCCCACAGCUUAACUGUGGGAAUUGCUGGAGAUACUAUCAUGACUCGAGGUCGGGAGAGGCUGGAGGUACUCCCAGGGUAGGGGUGAAAUCCUGUAAUCCUGGGAGGACCACCUGUGGCGAAGGCGUCCAGCUGGAACGAACCUGACGGUGAGGGACGAAAGCCAGGGGCGCGAACCGGAUUAGAUACCCGGGUAGUCCUGGCCGUAAACGAUGUGGACUUGGUGUUGGGAUGGCUUCGAGCUGCCCCAGUGCCGAAGGGAAGCUGUUAAGUCCACCGCCUGGGAAGUACGGCCGCAAGGCUGAAACUCAAAUGAAUUGGCGGGG
rnacentral:rRNA from 1 species